CAAACUGGAAGGGUUGUACCUCCUUCUCUGAAGGCUUCUUCACUAAGUGGAUAUUAGAGUCGCUCAGACUUUCCAUGAAAGGACUCUCUUAAGUUUCCUCUUGUAUGCACAGUUAUGGCUAGGAUGACGUUAUAUGGUGGACUCACAUACAAGACCCUUUUGUGGACUUUCAAAGUAAAGCCAGAUGUUAGCUGCUGCUUCCAUGGAGACUAAAUGAGGUUUCAGAGUGGACCAAAUCUCACUUAAUGGGAGGUCAGAGCCACUGCCAAGAGCAUUUCUUAUACUUUCCUAUCAGAAGACAGAGCCGACGAUGAGACAAACCCCCAUGACAGGAUUGUGGUGCAGAUUAAGUGACGUCUGUGCAUCACCACGCACAAACCAGUGAUUUUUGUCUUGCAUCUUCAAACCAAAAUGGAUCUCAGUGCUGUUAAACUACAGGAGACGUUGCCCUGCCCUUUCCCACGCCCACGCCCACGUGAGAGCAGCAAAGGAACUCGUUCCCUACAGGAAUGAAGCCAAACACGUAUCAGACUCCAUUUGGUAUUCCGCAUGGGAAGCAGAGUACCCCGUAUGUACCUGUCGUGUGAGGACACAUGCUGAAGGCCGGCUGGUGGC